UGUAAAUCAGGCCUGCUCAAUGUUUAAAAUAAAUAGCCGCAGUAUUAUGACUGUGCGAAGGUAGCAUGAUAAUUAGGCUAUUAAUUGUAGUCUUGAAUGAAGGGUCAGACAUAAGACCUUCUAUUUUGUUCGUAUGAAUGAAAUUUAAUAGUUAGUAAAAAUGCUAAUAUAAGGCAUAAAGACGAGAAGACCCUAUUGAGUUUAAUAUAAUUAUUUUAAAAUUUGAUAGUGAUGAAGUAAAAUAAUUAUAUUUGGUUGGGGCGACCUUAUUGAGAAACAAUAAAAAUGAAAGGUUAUAUUGAUCCAUUAUUAGUGAUUAAUAGAAUAAAUUACCAUAGGGAUAACAGCAUAAUUUUAUCUUAGAGUUCUUAUCGAUGAUAAAGUUUGUGACCUCGAUGUUGAAUUAAGAUACCUAAUGGGCGCAGGAGUUUAUUAAGGCAGACUGUUCGUCUAUUAAAUUCUUACAUGAUCUGA
rnacentral:rRNA from 1 species